rnacentral:misc_RNA from 1 species
GAUGAAGAACGUAGCGAAAUGCGAUAACUAAUGUGAAUUGCAGAAUUCCGUGAAUCAUCGAGUCUUUGAACGCACAUUGCGCCCCCUGGUAUUCCGGGGGGCAUGCCUGUCCGAGCGUCAUUGCUGCCCAUCAAGCACGGCUUGUGUGUUGGGUCCUCGUCCCCCCCGGGGGACGUGCCCGAAAGGCAGCGGCGGCACCGCGUCCGGUCCUCGAGCGUAUGGGGCUUUGUCACCUGCUCUGCAGGCCCGGCCGGCGCUGGCCGACGCGAAAGCAACCAUUUUUUCUCCAGGUUGACCUCGGAUCAGGUAGGGAUACCCGCUGAACUUAAGCAUAUCAAUAAGCGGAGGA